GGAUGCAGGUGAACUACUCCAAGUCUCCCUCACCCUAGGGCACUGCAAAAGGACAUGAUCGAUAGUCUCCUCAACUCCGUGCACACCUGACAAAACUGGGUAACCCAUACUCCUCAUCGAGCUAGCAUGCUUCUGGUCGGUAGGCACCCCCAUGCCACCUUCCAUAUAAGGAGCACCACUCGCGGGUAAACCCGCAUCCUC
rnacentral:lncRNA from 1 species